AUGGAGAGGAGAGCCUCGUGUAUUUUUUCCUACAGGUUCUUUUUUUACAGUUGACAUUUUUAUCUGCUCGUUUUUGGAAGUACAAGGGAAGUGUGGAAAAGACAAGUGAUUCGGGGCUUUGCAGGCGCCUGGUGUGGCUCCCAGUACGUUGCCCACCGCGCUCUGCUUUUAACGGGAGAGUAGGCGGGUCCUGAGGAGCACGGGGCGUGCGCGCACGUGCUGGCCCUUGCCCUGCUCUGGCGUCGUCUCCUGGGAGCACACGUCAGUGGGGACCUAGUGACCCUGGGGAUGGGGCUCCAAAGCGUGGGGGCUGAGCUGGGGAUGCAGAGUGGCGUGUCCUUGCCCUUCGACUCGUUCUGGUCCCUCUCUAACACUGGGGUGCUGGACAGGAAUGGGGCCCGGCCCUUCCCCUCACACCAAGCAGCUGAGCGACGGUGGAGCUGAGCUGUGAUGGCUGCGGACCCGCGUUGCACCGGCCCUACCUGAGAGGCUUGGGGCCUGCACACAGCUCGGCCCUGUGCUUCCUUGCAGCCAGCCAUACGUCGUGUGCCGGCAGUGUCCUGAGUACAGAAGGCAGGCGGCGCAGCCUCCCCACUGCCCAGCACCCGAGGGCGAGCCAGGAGCCCCACAGGCCCUGGGGGAUGCACCCUCCACGUCCGUCAGCCUGACGACAGUCCAGGAUUACGUGUGCCCUCUGCAAGGAAGCCACGCCCUGUGCACCUGCUGCUUCCAGCCCAUGCCCGACCGGAGAGCGGAGCGCGAGCAGGACCCGCGUGUCGCCCCUCAGCAGUGUGCGGUCUGCCUGCAGCCUUUCUGCCACCUGUACUGGGGCUGCACCCGGACCGGCUGCUACGGCUGCCUGGCCCCGUUUUGUGAAUCUGUAAUGAAAAGAAAUAUGUUUAUCCUCAGUGUCGGGCAGACAGUGCUUUCCUGCGACAUCAUUAUAAACAGAAUUACCUGGCAACCAGAGGUUUGACAUGGAAAAACAUGUUGACCGAGAGCCUCGUGGCUCUCCAGCGGGGAGUGUUUCUGCUGUCUGAUUACAGAGUCACGGGAGACACCGUUCUGUGUUACUGCUGUGGCCUGCGCAGCUUCCGUGAGCUGACCUAUCAGUAUCGGCAGAACAUUCCUGCUUCCGAGUUGCCAGUGGCCGUAACAUCCCGUCCUGACUGCUACUGGGGCCGUAACUGCCGCACUCAGGUGAAAGCUCACCACGCCAUGAAAUUCAAUCAUAUCUGUGAACAGACAAGGUUCAAAAACUAAGCAUCCAGAGGCCCUGAGCAGCUUUCAGCACUGGAGGUGAAGAGAGCGUGUUUUUAAAAUACAGAGACAAGCACGUCAAGGUGUUUUCACAGCCCCCUGAGGGAAGGGACGCAGGGUCUCCGACAGGUGCUCUGGGGUGACUCUUCUGUGGAGCUUUACCCUCUGAGUGAGACCCUCCCCAGAGCCCCGGGGGCCGCAGCCCGCCCUCCUGGUGAGCGCUGGGCAGGGCUCGUGGUGGCAUCAGCAGCAGAGACGAAGCCUUUCUGUAACAUGCGGCCGUCCCGCCGAGAGGGGCAGUUUUGCUCUUUUGUACAUUUUCCGAAACUACAGUUAAAGCAGAAGUCUGUUUUUAGGAAAAGUUUCAAGGGAGAAGGGCAAGUUUAUCAAAAACAUUGUUUCAGGAGAAGGGAGCAUAAGUUUACAGCCUACAGGACGUACACAAUAUCCUGCUGCUGGGAAAACCACAGCAUUUUAUCUAUUUUUUAUUUUAAUAGGUUUGGUGCUUAUCUUCUAAUAAGAUUUAAAUGUCACAAACUGUAGCACAAAUAAUAUAAUUUAUAAUUUACAAAUUGACUAAAAUUGGGUAUAGUAUGGUAUUUGAAAGAAUAAGCAUAUGCUUCUGUUUAUUAAAAAAAGAAACCUUCCAAUGUCCAAAACUGCUAACCCUCGACGUGGCCGCCAAGUUAGUCGCUCCUUGCUAACCGGUGAGUGACCGCGGCCCCGAGCCUGGGGCUGGACGCAGGUCCCAGGACAUGCUGCUCCCUUGUGUGAGUGACCGCGGCCCCGAGCCUGGGGCUGGACGCAGGUCCCAGGACGUGCUGCUCCCUUGUGUGAGUGACCACGGCCCCAAGCCCAGGGCUGGAGGCAGGUCCCAGGACGCGCCGCUCCCUCAUGCUGCCCGGGCCCUUCCUCCAAGACCCUACAGAGCCUGAGGGGCACCUUGGCUUCCGCCUGUGCUAGCUUUGCCAUGUCAUCUGGAAUAAUACUUGAAAUUUUGAUUUUUGGAAAAAAAAGUUUUUUAUCUUUUGUUGAAAUCACCUGUUAUCCUUGUUUGUAAACUGAUAACUUUUUUGCUUCUUCUCAGGAAUACAGUUUUCAACUGUUGUCUUGCUCUUGAUAGAAACUGAGAAGCAGCAAUCUGUAUUUGUG
rnacentral:lncRNA from 1 species